rnacentral:rRNA from 1 species
UACGUAGGGGGCUAGCGUUGUCCGGAUUUAUUGGGCGUAAAGAGCUCGUAGGCGGUCUGUCACGUCGGCUGUGAAAACCCGAGGCUCAACCUCGGGCCUGCAGUCGAUACGGGCAAACUAGAGUACUGCAGGGGAGACUGGAAUUCCUGGUGUAGCGGUGAAAUGCGCAGAUAUCAGGAGGAACACCGGUGGGCGAAGGCGGGUCUCUGGGCAGUAACUGACGCUGGAGGAGCGAAAGCCGUGGGGAGCGAACAGG